rnacentral:rRNA from 1 species
UGGGGAAUAUUGCACAAUGGGGGAAACCCUGAUGCAGCAACGCCGCGUGAGUGAUGAAGGCCUUCGGGUUGUAAAGCUCUGUCUUUGGGGACGAUUAUGACGGUACCCAAGGAGGAAGCCACGGCUAACUACGUGCCAGCAGCCGCGGUAAUACGUAGGUGGCAAGCGUUGUCCGGAUUUACUGGGCGUAAAGGAUGCGUAGGCGGAUAUUUAAGUGAGAUGUGAAAUACCCGGGCUCAACUUGGGUGCUGCAUUUCAAACUGGAUAUCUAGAGUGCAGGAGAGGAGAGUGGAAUUCCUAGUGUAGCGGUGAAAUGCGUAGAGAUUAGGAAGAACAUCAGUGGCGAAGGCGACUUUCUGGACUGUAACUGACGCUGAGGCAUGAAAGCGUGGGGAGCAAACA